rnacentral:sRNA from 1 species
UGACUUAAGUAUACCCAACUUCGCAGCCAC